rnacentral:rRNA from 1 species
AUUGAACGCUGGCGGCAGGCCUAACACAUGCAAGUCGAACGGCUGCACAGAAGAGCUUGCUCUUUGGGUGGCGAGUGGCGGACGGGUGAGCAAUGUCUGGGAAACUGCCCGAUGGAGGGGGAUAACUACUGGAAACGGUAGCUAAUACCGCAUAACGUCGCAAGACCAAAGUGGGGGACCUUCGGGCCUCACACCAUCGGAUGUGCCCAGAUGGGAUUAGCUAGUAGGUGGGGUAAUGGCUCACCUAGGCGACGAUCCCUAGCUGGUCUGAGAGGAGGACCAGCCACACUGGAACUGAGAAACGGUCCAGACUCCUACGGGAGGCAGCAGUGGGGAAUAUUGCAGAAUGGGCGAAAGCCUGAUGCAGCCAUGCCGCGUGUAUGAAGAAGGCCUUCGGGUUGUAAAGUACUUUCAGCGGGGAGGAAGGCGGUGAGGUUAAUAACCUCGUCGAUUGACGUUACCCGCAGAAGAAGCACCGGCUAACUCCGUGCCAGCCGCCGCCGUAA